CCUGGUUGAUCCUGCCAGUAGUCGUAUGCUUGUCUCAAAGAUUAAGCCAUGCAUGUCUAAGUACACACUUUGGUAAAGUGAAACCGCGAAUGGCUCAUUAAAUCAGCUACAAUUUAUUAGAUCGUACACUGUUACUUGGAUAACUGUGGGAAUUCUAGAGCUAAUACAUGCCGAGAGUCUCUGCUCUUCGGGGCAGAGGGCAGUUAUUAGACCAAAACCAGCCGUAUUCUUCGGGGUACGCUCUUUUGGUGACUCUGGAUAACCUUCAGCCGAUCGCAUGGCCUCGUGCCGGCGACGUAUCUUUCAAGUGUCUGCCCUAUCAACUUUCGAUGGUACGUGAUAUGCCUACCAUGGUGAUAACGGGUAACGGGGAAUCAGGGUUCGAUUCCGGAGAGGGAGCCUGAGAAAUGGCUACCACAUCCAAGGAUGGCAGCAGGCGCGCAAAUUACCCACUCCCAGCUUGGGGAGGUAGUGACGAAAAAUAACAAUGCGGGACUCUAAGAGGCCCCGUAAUUGGAAUGAGUACACCUUAAAUCGUUUAACGAGUAUCAAUUGGAGGGCAAGUCUGGUGCCAGCAGCCGCGGUAAUUCCAGCUCCAAUAGCGUAUAUUAAAGUUGCUGCAGUUAAAAAGCUCGUAGUUGGAUCUGGGGCUUGAGGUCGCUGUCUAUCGUUUCGGCGAUGACGGUGAUGCUCAGCUCUGCUUGCCGGUGACUGUUGCGGUGUUCUUCACUGAGCGCUGUAGCAGCACGGCACGUUUACUUUGAAAAAAUUAGAGUGCUCAAAGCGUGCUUGUCGCUUGAAUAAUGUUGCAUGGAAUAAUGGAAUAGGACCUCGGUUCUAUUUUGUUGGUUUUCGGAGCUUGAGGUAAUGAUUAAGAGGGACGAACGGGGGCAUUCGUAUUGCGGUGUUAGAGGUGAAAUUCUUGGAUCGCCGCAAGACGGACUACUGCGAAAGCAUUUGCCAAGAACGCUUUCAUUAAUUAAGAACGAAAGUCAGAGGUUCGAAGACGAUCAGACACCGUCCUAGUUCUGACCAUAAACGAUGCCGACCAGCGAUCCGUAGUGGUUGCUUUAUGGACCCUACGGGCAGCCUCCGGGAAACCAAAGUAUUUGGGUUCCGGGGGAAGUAUGGUUGCAAAGCUGAAACUUAAAGGAAUUGACGGAAGGGCACACCAGGAGUGGAGCCUGCGGCUUAAUUUGACUCAACACGGGAAAACUCACCCGGUCCGGACACCGUAAGGAUUGACAGACUGAUAGCUCUUUCUUGAUUCGGUGGAUGGUGGUGCAUGGCCGUUCUUAGUUGGUGGAGUGAUUUGUCUGGUUAAUUCCGAUAACGAACGAGACUCUAGCCUGCUAAGUAGCGUUGCUAUUGUUAUAUGGUUGACACUUCUUAGAGGGACAAGUGGC
rnacentral:rRNA from 1 species